CGCACACAGGAGGGACCGGCCCGCCCGGGUCCGCUCCAUCCCUGUUCCGCAACCACCGGGAUGUGCCGGGUGAGGAACCGCUGUGGCCCGUACGGUGUGUCCUUCCUCCUUUGUUUCUUCGUUUCGGCUGAAGAAAGCGAAGGGGAAAGAAGGGGUAAUCAGAAUAAGAGACAAGGGACAGGAGGAUGCCAUCAGCACACCCACAGUGAUCACACACUGCCGUCUCCUCACCACACUGCAUAAGCACCACCAGUAUUUUUUGCAAAGUGAGGUUAUAUUUUUGGUUAUUAUACUUCUGCAUGACCUCAGUGAAGUGACCUCCGUGCUGUGCUUCAGCUGUGAAAUGAGCAGGAAUAAAGCUAAAAUGGUUUCA